AUAUAUUCACUUUCCACGUAAAUGAAGUCGCGGGUAAAUUUUAGCGUUAUGCCAAAGUAACUAUUCCACGCGGACAAAGUCGCGGGCAAAAGCUAGUUUAAUAAUGUUUGUCUUCUAUGCGUUCACGAUUUCGAUAACAUUUGAUGCUUCACGGAAGUAUUUUUGUCAUAGUAUCAUUAACGUCGGACAUGUGGCGAAUAUGUUCAAAACAGUAAAUGGUUUUAUUUCAUUACUAGCUUUAGCCCGCGACUCCGUCCGCGUGGCAUAACGCUAAAUUGUACCUCCACUUCAUUUACGUAGAAAGUGAAAAUAUUUUUGAAUUACAGAAUGUUAAGGAGCUAUUUAAACCCCUAUUUUGAAACAUUCUUUAUUGUUGCUCCACUUGUAUUGGUCUUACCGUGAUAUUAUAUAACCUUCUUCAAUAAAUGGGCUAUCUAACACUGAAAGAAUUUUUCAAAUCGGACCAGUAGUUCCUGAGAUUUGCGCGUUCAAACAAACAAACUCUUCAGCUUUAUAAUAUUAGUAUAGAUUUCACUAUCAGAAUUGGUCACGGCGGAACAUGACCGGCCCCCUGAUCACGUAAAAAUUUGCGACAGCCACAAUUUUGCAGAUGUUGUGCAGACGCGUCGCGACCGAUCGCAAAACGUCAAAUUAUUUCGUAUCACGUACCGCGAUUGUUCGCUUACCGCUUACUGCAGUUUUCUGUCAUACAACUAGCGCCAGUCGCAAUCGGGUAGCAAUAAUUGGCACUAAAAAGCCACAUUACUUUUUUUUUUUUUGCUGAACAAACCGGCAAAUGAAUUUAUAAAAGCGCGUUACAUAUAAACAUUUUAAAAUGUUUAAGUGGAAUUCACGUUUGAAACGCCAAGCGAGAGCUGCUAAUUCUGUUCUUUUCGAUGAAGCGUUACUAAAAAUAAGUGAUCUAAUAAUAAUUUUUGCUUUAUUUUGAAUAAUAGCUACAAAAAUGUAAUUGUGUCAUGUCAAACACUGAUAACAUUUUUUUUUGUACUUAAUCGUUUGAUAAUUUGUAAUCAGAUAGUUGUUUACGUUACGAACCUAUUUUAAAAAAGAAUGGAUCAAAAUUAUAGCCUAAUUUAUUAAUUUCAUUAUCAAUUAACCCAGUUUUUCGUCGACGAAGCCAUCUUAAGAGAAGCUUCAUUGCAAAUAUCAGGCCGAUAUUUAGUAAGUUAUUUUUAUUCAUUAACCAGGUACUCUUUGCACUCACUCACUGCAGUAAGAAUGUUAAUCAAUCAUUAUAUUAUCUAGACUAUAGCGGACAACAAACAAGAGUGGACACAUCGUGAGCUGUAGUUGUAGAAAGAGGAGAAAAUGGAAACUAAGGCGAACCACUGGCUCAUGCAGCUUUCAUUUCAGCAGAGGCUGUUCGUACGCAGGCAGAGGCCGCGCAUCUUUCAGAUGAGAUAUAUAAAAAAAUUCAAGGAAUUGACCAAUAUCGGCAAAAACCUUGUUUAAAAUAAUAAGUUCAAUUUUGUUUUAAUUUUAGCUGAGUCCAUAAUAGUUUAUAUUACCAUAAAAACGAAAUAGCGCUUGUUACAAUAGUCAAGCAAAUCCAAAUAUAUACGUUUUACUUUAGGCUGGUACUACAGUAAAUUUUAUGACACUAGUGAGUAUAUUUUACGCUAAUAAAACUACUCUCAACUUAGCAUUUCAAAAUGACUAUUUAUUUUUUUAUUGCUAAGAUGGGUGGACGAGCUUACAGCCCACCUGGUGUUAAGUGGUUACUGGAGCCCAUAGCCAUCUACAACGUAAAUGCGGCACCCACCUUGAGAUAUAAGUUCUAAGGUCUCAGUAUAGUUAUAACGGCUGCUCUACCCUUCAAAACGAAACGCAUUAAAGCUUCACGGUAGAAAUAGGCGGAGUGGUUGUACCUACUCGUGCGGACUCACAAGUGGUCCUACCACCAGUAGAAUACCAGUAUUUAGCUUCAUUGUAUAUUUUGUACUCACAGUAUUCGGCAUGUUCUGCUUCUAGUCUAUAGGGUUAUAGAGCUAUCACCUUGCUAUCAUUCUACUUACCUCGGCCCCAAGUUCAGUUAUGUUUCUUUGAAGUUAUCGGCAGUCGAUAUUAUAUUUCAAUUGUGGCUUCAAUUUCAUGCGGCAAGAAUUACAAACAAACUACGAUUUCCUAAUUUAAGAAUUAUUAUUCAAAUAAAACAAAAUUACACAAAAAAAAUUAUUAUCAAACUUAUCUAACGACCGUCUGGUGUAGUGGUAAGUGACAUGGUCGCUACACAAGGGGGUCGCGGGUUCGAAUCCCGCCAAGGGAAGAUAUUUGUAUGAUAAAUAUAAAUGUCUUUUCCAGGGUUUGGAAUUCCAGGGGAUGUAUAUUAAAUAUAUGUAUGUGUAUAAUAAAAAUCCUACAUUUAUUUCCGUUAUCUGGUAUUUAUAUUUAUAUUAUUAUUAUUAUCACAAUGAACAAAAAUCAGUGGUGGUUGAUCAACAUUUUGUCUAAAUUAUGAAUUAUGUUUUUCAUUUUGUAAGUAAUAUUCAUGUAAGUAUCCAACAAAAUUUAGAAGAAUUAUGAAUUACUAGUCGAUUUGUUAUUCAUUCUAUUCCAUUAUUCAAAACAGCAGUAUAUACAAUAAUAUAUAUAACAACACAACAUACAAACGGGGUUAACAUAAAGAUAAAAUGAUACAGAACAAAUUGAGCACGACAGAUUAAAACAUUGUCUUAAUAAAACAACCUCACAAUUUUGCUUUCAAAUAGUUAUGAAUCCAUCCUUUAUAUAGUAAAGGUAAAAACACAAAAAUGUUAAGGAAAUAUGUAUAUUUCCACUAAGCACAAUUAAAAAAUUAUAGACACAAAUAAUUAGGCUAUUCUUGCCCUCUCAGUUCACAUAAUUAAGAACAGCAGUUUUCAAAAUAUCUACAUAAAAUUACUAGAAUACAGAGGUUGAGACUAAAUUUAAUGUCUGUUCUCCACAAUCCAAUUGAACCACCCUUGAAUGUUGACAUGGUGCUAAGUGCUGUGUUUCCUCUUCUCUCCCAAAAAAUACAAUGUUAUGAGUUUGAUAAGAAACAUCAAUUUCAGCAUCUUCGUCAGAGAGUUGGGGCACUGGAAACCCAUGUGUGUUUGCCAUGUUAUGCAAUACAAGCUAACAAUUAUGGUCUUGGCCAUCAUAAUAUGAUGAUCAUAAUGCAGUACUCUAUGUACCAACAAGCAUCUCCAACUGGCUUUCAAUACUCACAAUGGUCAACUGUGUUCCU